AGACCUCAUUCUUGUGGAUUCAUGUAAACCUUUGAAUUAGAUUCCCACCCUCAAGCCUUGUUAAAGGAGGACUUCCCCCAUCGCUAAAGGAAGCAAAAAGGUGGUUCAUUUAGGUAACCAAAAAUGCCUGGAUGUUCUGCUAUUAACUGUUCCAAUAGAGCGGAGCAAGGAUUUAAGAUGAAAGUGUUUCCAAAGGAUCCUAAUUUACGUGCCAUUUGGAAAGCUAGAGUGAAACGACGGGAUUGGAGUCCUACCAAGAAUAGUUACUUGUGUGAGGCACAUUUUGAGGAAAAUCAAUGGGAAGUGUCACCAUUAAAUGGAAAAAGAAAACUAAAAAAAAAAUGCUGUCCCAACAUUAUUUUCUGAGAUCGAAGGAUUGAUUUCAAGAAAGUCACCAAGAGAACGACCGCGCCUUGAAACGGUACAAAAAACUGAUGAAUUUGUGCACAUACUACAUGAGAUGAGACAUAAAGAUCAACACAUUGAGUUUCUAACAGAGUCUCUUCAGAAAAUGAAAGACGUGAAUGCUGUGCAUCAGCGGCGAAAUGAAUCUUUAAAAAAAAGAGUGAUGACAAUGUCGAUGAAAUAUUGUGUAUUGAAAGCAAAGUUUUCAAGAACGAGGAGAAAACUUAUUUGUGUCCUGAAGACUUGAAUUACAAUUUUCUAACUUGAUGAUGAAAAAUUAGCUUACUCAGUUUUAUUGCUAAAGUUUUUAAAGUAAAAAACAUAAUGUAUAUACAUAUUUUUAAAGUUUAUUUCAGAUUCAAAAUUUCAAAUAUAUUUGGCAUAGCUUUGAGUCUUGUAGCCCAUUAAUUUAAAUGAGAGUGAAAACAUUUAAAAUUCUCUUGUUAUUAUUAAUUUUACAUUUAUUUCUCAUUCAUUUCAAUUUUUGAAAAUGUGCAACCCCAAUUGCAUUUAUUAAAAGUAUGUACUUAUAUCUAACAAUCUUUACUAAUAAUAAAGCGGAAA